CGGAAGUUAAGUAGGAUC
rnacentral:snRNA from 1 species